CAGACGGCUUCGGGCGCCGUGCAGCGCCUUCCUCCUCUGAGACCGUGUCCGUGAUCUGAAACAUGUACAAGUAGGAGUAGCUGUCAGAUAGAGAAGUUGAUGUCCAGACUUGAAGACUCCGCUGAAGGUCACCCAACCAGAAACGGUAAAUAACGCCUCACUUUACGACUACAAACGAGGGAAAUGUCAUAAAGCGGGGCAAGCGAACACUCAGAAGCAAAUGGAAAUGUUGGUUUUCCUCCCUCCGGCCGUCCUGUCCAGUGCUACCGAGGCCUAGGGUCCCAGUGGCCCCGCCAAGCUCUGGUUCCCGACGCCGGCCCACAGUUUUCUGGCUUCCUUUCCCACCCUGGGGGGAGCUCGGCCUCUCUCUGAGAAGCCUGUCCCAGAGCCAGGCCUGGAAAAACAACAGCGAGAAACUUUGGCAGGGUUUGCAGCUCAGUGGAAAAAAAAAAAAAGCUAAAAAAAAAAAGCAC
rnacentral:lncRNA from 1 species